AGCACCGCACUGCCAAGUGCUCUCUCCCUGUAAUGACAAUAUUGCCCACAGCUCUUUCCUUCAAAGGAGCAGAGAAAUUAGUGGGCCAUAUAGUGUUCUGCUCGAGUCCGUAGUUUCUGCUUUUUAAAAUGUGUUUAGGGAGAAGAUUUGUCAUUUGCAGAAAGGAACAAAGAAGUCAAGGGCACAUUUAGAUUUUCCAUAGUAAUUAGAUGCUUGUUCCCAGGGAAGCAUUUGGGUUUUUAAUCAAAUCUCCAAAGUUUUGGUCUCCUGGAUUAAACAAUUCCCCUUCUCCCUGACCUGGCCCUGCUUUUGUUUCAUUAUGUAGAUCUGACCUUUACCUCACAAAGGUGUUGGCACUGAGAAGAUGCAAUGAAAACUUUCUCCUCUACCCAAGGGUUGAAUUCAAGAUGGCUCCCAUGAAGAGGCACCCCAUUACCAGGGCUAGCUCUUGGCCUUGCAUGUUCUAGACUGGCUGUCCUGGGAUACUGAUGCUCACAAAUGCUGUCUCAGGUUGCACUUGGCUCUUAUUGGAACAGACUACUGGGAACACAUACUGGUACCUCAGUUCCAGGAAGAAUCUGUAUACAUGUAUUUAAUUACAUAUAUUGAAUUUCUUCCUCUCUGAGAGCUGUCCUAAUUGUACUGACCUACACGGAGGGAAGCACUGACAGAUGCAAUUUUGUGGAUACAACUUUACAACAGGAAUAUGGCCAGGUCUUUCCUUCUCUUCUGGUAUGGCUGGCUGAUAUGAAAUAUGAUUGAAUCUUGCCACCUGAAAUCUUGAAUAUGAAGACAUUUAUUUCUUCCUUUAUAACUUUUAAUGCAACAACUUCCAAAAAAGUAUUGGAAAUAAUUAUGGUAAGGUGAGUGCAAAAAGGUAGGUAAAUUAAUUGCACCAGGAACCUAAGCAUUAAAAACUCAAUAUGAGGGGCAUCUGGGUGGCUCAGUUGAUUAAGCAUCUGCCUUUAGUUCAGGUCAUGACCUCAGGAUCCUGGGACUAAGUCCCUCAUCUGGCUCCCUGCUCAGCAGGGAGUCUGUUUCUCCCUCUCUCUGCCCCUACCCCCCCCACCCCGCUCAUGUUCUCUCUUGCGUGCGUGCCACAUGUGCGUGUGCUCUCUCUGUGUCAAAUAAAUAAAUAAAAUCUUCAAAAAA
rnacentral:lncRNA from 1 species